UUCCCAGUGCUGCACAUGGAGGUGAUUGU
rnacentral:piRNA from 1 species